rnacentral:lncRNA from 1 species
GCACGAAGCAUCUGUCCGCAGGUCUCCCCAGAGAGGAUCUGAAAUCAACAUUCCAGGCACCUGUAAAUUUGGCACUAAUGGAGCAAUGGGUGCAGGUACUGUACAUGGCAGCUCAUAUUUCACAUGCUUCUUAUUCAGUAGAAGUGCUGCAGGAGAUCGAUCCUCGUGUGGCUGUCUGCUCAACUCCAGGCCAGCGAAACAGAAGGAGACAGGACUGCAGACUGGACCGAUGGGCUGCAGGAUGGAAAAGCCACCUGGGGGACUUCCAAGGACGACAAUGGAGAGCUGGCUGCAGAGGAAAACUGGUCAGACCAUCUGCUGGACCCCCUCCCAGUCCCCAGCACCGCAGCCACCCAGUUGCUGUUGACUCAACCCCACUGGAGGUCUUCUGGGACUCGCCUAAAUCUCACUUUAUUCCAAGAGGACAGGAAAUUAGAAACUGUGGAAAUAUUAAGCGGGAUGUCUCUCUUUCUCCGGGAGAUUAGGCAGGAGGGAUACAGGCAAACAAACACAGACCGCUGCUUGCAAGUCUCCUUCCAAAAUCCUGGAAGUCAAAUGUGCUGUUAAUCCAUCCGAACAACUUUCUUGUGGAGUGGCCCCUCCCCCACCCCGCUUCUGGGAUGAAACCGCGUGUCGCGGUCCCGGAGCAAUGGCACGCUUUGGAAACGAUGAUUGCGUGAAGAGGGGAGAGGCGUGGGAGGCUGGCGGCGAGCCACCCUGGGGAUAGCGGGGAAUGUGGGCUGGGCCGCGGGAUCGCUGGAGGACAUUGCCGGGGCAAAGAAAUCCUCAGGAUUAAACAGAAAAUGUGCCGUAAUUCAGUGAUGCAACCAUGUGCAAAGAUUGACGCAAAAUGAGAUUUUUAAAAAUUAUUGGCAGCAGUUUCUAUGGAGGGAAUCAUGGAGAAAUUCGUAAAGAAUAUGUUGCUGCACAAUGUUUAUGUGUCACUCAUGAAGGUAUUAUGCAUUUCAGGGUUUUGAUCAGGAGGUGAAAUCCUCUGCGCAAGUUUUAUGUCGAGAAGCUUCGGCAAACUACAGCUAAAGUAACACAAAACACUGCAACAUUUAAAACAGGGUUUAAAACUUAUUUAUUUUAUUGUAAUUCUGGCAACUGAUUGAGCAGCCUGAUUGACACUUUGGAAGAUCUAGGAGCUUUUUGUUUGUCUACUGUUAAGAAGAGGGUGGUUAAUGUCUUAAAUGGAAAUGAAAAUGUCUGAUCUUCUGAGCUCAUUUGGAAACACACAUUUACGCACCCUUACGGCGGUACAGUGAGUAGCGCUGCCGUCUCACAGCACCUGGGUGGUGCGAGAGAAUGUGAGUUCGAUCCCUUCUCGGUCUGUGUGGAGUUUGCAUGUUCUCCCUGUGUCUGCGGGGUGCUCUGGUUUCCUCCCACAGUCCAAAGACAUGCUGUUCAGGUUCCCCAUAGUGUGUGUGAGUGACACAGAGAGAGUGUGUUCCACUGAUGUAUGAAUGAGUGACCCAUUGUAAUUAGUGUAUCUAACAGUGUAAGUCACCGUGGUGAAUAAGGUGUGUGGGCUGAUAACACUACAUAGAGUUCAUUGGAAUUUGCUUUGGAGAAAAGUGUCUGCUAAGUGAAUAAAUGUAAUGGAGCCUAUUUUCUGACA